UUCUAACAAGUUCUAGUAAAGCAAUUUGUUUAAAAGCAAACUUCCAUCAAAACAUUGAAACUUCAAGACUCUGGUGCGGAAAGAUUGAAGCAUCAAGACUAAAGCGAUGAAAAGCUCUCUAAGUUUUAUUCUCAUUGGUCCAGUCCAAA
ensembl:ncRNA H03A11.11 ncRNA